GAUGAACGCUGGCGGCGUGCUUAACACAUGCAAGUCGAACGGAAAGGCCCAAGCUUGCUUGGGUACUCGAGUGGCGAACGGGUGAGUAACACGUGGGUGAUCUGCCCUGCACUUCGGGAUAAGCCUGGGAAACUGGGUCUAAUACCGGAUAGGACGAUGGUUUGGAUGCCAUUGUGGAAAGUUUUUUCGGUGUGGGAUGAGCUCGCGGCCUAUCAGCUUGUUGGUGGGGUAAUGGCCUACCAAGGCGUCGACGGGUAGCCGGCCUGAGAGGGUGUACGGCCACAUUGGGACUGAGAUACGGCCCAGACUCCUACGGGAGGCAGCAGUGGGGAAUAUUGCACAAUGGGCGCAAGCCUGAUGCAGCGACGCCGCGUGGGGGAUGACGGCCUUCGGGUUGUAAACUCCUUUCGCUAGGGGCGAAGCGUUUUUGUGACGGUACCUGGAGAAGAAGCACCGGCUAACUACGUG
rnacentral:rRNA from 1 species